rnacentral:lncRNA from 1 species
UCAUAAGAUUUCUCUUUGUAGGUCAAUUCAGUGAACUCAUUCUUCUAAUGAGCACCCAUAUCUUUGUAUUAGUGUCUCCACACAAAUGAUUGUGAGAUCAAUCAUCCUCUGCAUCGAGCAUACAUAAGACAUGCCAGUCUUUCCGGUAAUCAUUGAUCCCCGACUCAAUGUACCAAUGACUGGGAAUAUUUAAGAUUAGGAUUUUAGGAUUUUAAGUCUCACUAGUAUAAUCUCAUCAUAGUCUUAAAACCAUUGUCCUAAUCUAAGGAAUUUAUCAUAAAUAUAAUCAACAGCAUAUGAUAAAAUAUAAUGCCUUUAUUCAUAUUUAAAUGUCAUGUACAUGAUUUGGACAAAUCAAAAGAAAAACCCUUCGCAAUACAUAUUGCGAUUGGCUUGUAGGGCAUCUACUCUUUCA